AUAAGCAUUAUACGGCGAAACUGCGAAUGGCUCAUUAUAUAAGUUAUCGUUUAUUUGAUAGCACAUUACUACUUGGAUAACCGUGGUAAUUCUAGAGCUAAUACACGCUAAAAAUCCCGACUUCGGAAGGGAUGUAUUUAUUAGAUUAAAAACCAAUGCCCUCUGGGCUCUCUGGUGAAUCAUGAUAACUGCUCGAAUCGCAGGGCCUCGUGCCGGCGAUGGUUCAUUCAAAUUUCUUCCCUAUCAACUUUCGAUGUUUGGGUAUUGGCCAAACAUGGUUACAACGGGUAACGGAGGGUUAGGGCUCGACCCCGGAGAAGGAGCCUGAGAGACGGCUACUACAUCCAAGGAAGGCAGCAGGCGCGCAAAUUACCCAAUCCCGACACGGGGAGGUAGUGACAAUAAAUACUGAUACAGGGCUCUUUCGGGUCUUGUAAUUGGAAUGAGUACAAUUUAAAUCCCUUAACGAGGAACAAUUGGAGGGCAAGUCUUGCC
rnacentral:rRNA from 2 species